AUCUCUUCUCUGCCUAUUAGCUAAAAUCAAGCAUAGUGUCUGUCUUACCAGUUAGAGCACCUGAUGUAUUCUUCAUCUGUGUCCUGGGCAUUAAAUUAAUGUUUGGAGUUAGGCGAUGGAUUGGUAGCUUACUCAAUCAGUUCCACGCCUCAGCUUGGAAGUGCAUUACUUCCAGGAACAGUGCCUUCCUU